ensembl:lncRNA
GCCGAGGGGGUGUGGCUGUGGCGGCGCCCGGCCGGGCUCUGCGCACGGCGCCCGACGGGGCGGGGCACGUGACCUCCCGCCGCCCCGCCCCGCCCUUCUUUACAUAAAGUGCCGCCGGUCAGCUGACCCUCCCGGCGCUUUGCUAUUGGUGGAAAAGGGGCGCGGGGAGGGGUUAAAAGCGCCCCGCCCGCUGUGUGUGUUCGCCACGGGGGCGGGGCUGGCGCCGCGCGCGGUCAGGGUGUGAGUCAUGUGGGGGCAGGCUCGCGCGGGAAGGGCCCGGCCGGCGGUUGGGGAGCGCGCGCGCGCGGCCGUUAGCGCCCCGCCUGCCCUGAGGGGAGCCCCGGGCUGGAGAGGCACGGAGCCACCCGAGCCGGGCAGGAGGGAACCGUGGGGACCGGGGACGGGGGUCUGGGGGUCCUCGGGGCUCUGCCCGCAGCUCCCCGGCGGCUGCUGCUCGCGGUGGUCCCCUCAGGUGUUAGUUCUCGUCAGGGUGGGAGCCGCAGGGCUAGCAGAAAGUUGUUUGUGCGCUCCCGUCUGUAUCGGAGUGCCGCCGCCUCACGGUGUAACGCCCGGCGGGAUGGGGCUGCUGCUCCCGUUGGUGGCAGCGCCGCGCCCCAACAGCCUGGCAGGGCAGCGGGCGGCAGGCUCGCCGGGAGCGUGGAAUAGAAGAGAAUCCUUGGACUGAUGGGACUUCUUCCUUCUGCCAUUGUUGUCCGGAUCCCAAGUCUUUUACUGCAGAGCUGCUUUCUAGCCAACUGACCCGCCGGGCUGUACUACCGCAUGAGAUAUUCCUCUCCAGGUGAGGAACUUCCCAUUUUUCAUUGUUCAGUUCCACGAGGUCCUGCCAGGCCAUUUCUUCAGCCUGUCAAGAUCCCUCUAAAUAGCGGCCAUAGCUUUCAGCAUAUUGACUGACUGCUCUCCUCACUUUCUCUUUCCAAACUGCUUUUUUUUUUCUUUUUUCUUUUUUCUUUCUUCUUUUUUCUUUUUUCUUUUUUCUUUUUUCUUUUUUCUUUUUUCUUUUUUCUUUUUUCUUUUUUCUUUUUUCUUUUUUCUUUUUUCCUUCUUUGCCCGUUUUCUAUGUUUUUGGAGAGGAUGAGACGUUAGCAACAGAGGGUCAUUCAGUGCCAGUUGGCUGUUGUGUCAGGGAACAGUCAAGGGUACUUUGACUGUAAUUGACUGAUAUAGGCAUAUCCUGGUAACUUAAGGCAUAUCCUGUGGUAACUGAAGCCCCCCUCCAGGGAAAACUGAAUUGAGAAUGGGUCUUUCUGAUGAUCUUGGCAUAUUUAGGCAUAUAAAUUGGCCUGAAGGCUCUGAUGUUUAAGACCCCAGACAAGAUGUACCCAGAUGGUAUACUGCUUCACACAGCUCCACAGUGGUUAUCAUGGCAGUGCAUUUACUGACACAAAGCUGUUUCUGCCAUGGAUUCAGGUCAGUGGUAUAAAAAGGUUUCAAGACAUCAGCCUGACCCACUUCUGGGACGGGGCAGAUAUGUUAAAGCGAGUGUGCUGCAGCACAAGAUGUACUGCCAGCUCAUCACUCAGGACCAUGCGAGUGACCAUGUGCAUUUGGAUAUUAAGGGCCCAGUAGUGGUUAUUCCUCAGCUGGAGAAUGAUGCUGGACCCACCAGUGAGUGCUGGCAAUUAGGCCUCAGAAGCACUGUGCCAUGGCUUUGGCCUGUACAAAGCUGGAGCCUGCCAUAAGAGGCUUGACAGACCAGCCACCAGAGCAUCCUCCAGAGCCCUGCAGAGGCACCACCACACCACCACCAGCCCAGAUAAAGGAGCCUCAUGUUCACACACAAAUUAAUAAUGUAGUGAGAUCACUACAUAUUAUGUUAUUAAUUAAUAUAAACUUGUAAAGCAUAAAAUAUUGUUAUAUCGUUAUUGCAGUAAUUAUCACAUAGUCAUAGCAGACAUACGUAAACAAACAGCAUAUUAAUUAUUUUAAGUUUAUAAAAUCUUUUAAAUCUUAUUAUUUUUAAAUCAAACCAUUGCAGGUUUGCUAAUCAGGGAUAAGUGCAAGUUUCUGUCUUACUCCAAUAAGGAAAAACAUCUCAAAAAAUAAUUUCGAAAUGACACUACACUCCUCAGAGAAUUACUUAUUCAUCAACCAAUAAUAAAAACUGCAUUUCAUCUUCUGAGUGCCUAAAAAGUGAAAGUGGUGUUUGCAUAAUAUAGGAACUGGAAAUCUAUUGUGGAAAUCAAUUUGUAGUUCUGCAGCCACCGGUAGCAGUUAUGUACUUACUGCAUUUGGUAUACAGAAAAUACUAUAGAUUCAUAGAUCUGUUGAGGAAUGCAAUUGAUCAUAACAUUCCUUUUACAGGCAAGAAGUGAGCUGACCAAAGUGAAAAAUAACCUUACAAAUAGUAAUAAUAAUGAAAAAAACCACCUCUAAACCUGGAUUAGUUCAAUGAUCUGAUUUGUCACGUCAGUCCACAAACAGUUGUUCUUGUAUAGAGAUUUGGGCGAUGUGGGGGCACCUCACAUUUGCAUUGAGAGAAAUAAAAAGGAAUAUGGAUCCAGCUGGCAUUUGUGCAUUAAUUUGUUAAUUUAUAAUUGGGUAAUAUUAAGGCUCUAAUUCAGCCAAAUGCUCAUAUGUUUUACUUUUUGCUAACAUCAAAUAGCAGUCGCUUUGGGUUCAUUUCACUUUUAUGUAUAUAAAUAUCUUCAAAGUAUGCUCUUUAUGUUUUGAUGAAAAUGUUUUUUAAAGGAUGAUUUUUCUGCUGUCAUGCUUUAGACAGAAAGACAGAACAGCAUUGUGCCAAAGCAAAAAUACGAUUGAGCAGUUAAUCUUUUUUGAUCAAAUUGAAAAAUACCAAAUGAACCAAUAUCACAUAGGACAAAAAGGAAAAAAAAAAAAAGAAAAAAAAAGAAAAAAAAAAAAGCUGUUUUCAAAUGUUUCUGUUUUAAAGAAUGGUGGACUCUAGAGGAGCAGAUGUUAAUAUUUUGCAGCUGUUUAAUAUACCAGUAAUAAUUUGUAAGCAUUAGGUUAUACUUUUCUUUCAUUGACACUCAUCAAACAUCUCUCAUUUAUUAGCUUAUACAUUCUUCAGAAGAGGAUGUGUUUGGUCCUUGCCUAGCACAAAAGGGCUCUUGAUCUUAAUUAGGCCCUUUGGCUUCUAUGGCAAUUUGAUUUAUUAGGGAACAAUAGCCUACAAGGCUGUUAAGAAUAUCAGCAUGGACAUUUAAAAAUGUCAUUGAUGUCAGUUAAUGUUCAGCAUGGAAGACUAUUAUUAGUAUGAAGUUAGAAACAAAAGUAGCAAGAUGAUAUUAAGCUUACAAAAUGCACUUUGCUUUGGUGGGUAAAGAUUUGAAUAACAUCAAAUUACAGUCUGGAUUCUCCUGAUAACAUAUUUGUUAGCAACUUAGUAGAAGAGUGUGUGUGUCUAAUGUCACUUCUGUUUAUCCUUUUCAUCACCAGUGACCUGCAAACUCCAAACAUAUAAUCCUUUAGGGCAUUCACAUUUCAGAAUGAAAUAAUUCUUGAUGUAUGGAGUCACGGUGAUCUGCUUGAGAUUUUUCAGCAUUCUUUCGCUGUCAUAGUGGUAAAAUUUCUUCUGAUGUUGAGAACAGUAAUAAUCUGCCUGGUAGUUAUUAUUAAAAGCAGAAAGCAAACUUUUGUAAGAAUUAUUUUUUCUUACUACCACCUAUUCCAGUUUAGAGAUUUAAUUAGUCUCUUUGUAAAAAUCAUUUUCACUAUAAAGUACAUAAUCACAAUUCUUCUAUGAAGAAUUCUGAGUUCAGGAUGGCCAGGGUGAUACAUGUAGCAGGAAACUGAUCAAUAUUACUUAUGCUUUUUUAGCAUCUUCUGCAUCAUAUACUUUCUUCUUUUGUGUCCAGAGUAAAGUGGAAGGAAAUAAAAUAUUUGUGCAAUUGCCAGAUUGCUAAUCAGGACUGACCUACAUAGGUUGUGUAAGGUCCCCCAUGAGCUCCCUGCUUGUUUACUACAGCCAUUGUCCAGCAUUCAGCUUUCAGCCAAGAAUGGAGUCAACUGACCCAAGAAAUUUUGAUAGCAGGUAUAGUCAGGGUUGUUGUCAUCUACUCUCCGCUCUUUAAGGCUACAUCUAGUGUUUUAGAAACUGUUAUUCAGACAAAGGCAAAAUGUUGUCCUUCCAUUCAUGUGAGCAGCCAAAUGCAGGGCUGUUAGCUUCUUAUCCUGUGUGCUUUGUUUCUUGUUCUUUAGUAACAGGAAAUCUCUAAGAUCAUUGGCACUGCAGCAGAAAAUUCAAUUUGAGAUGGGCAGCACAGCACUCAUAAAGAUCAGAGAAAGGAAGCAGCUAUAUAUUACUUAAAAGUUAAUGAUAAUAUGUAAGCAAUAAUGGUAAAAAGAUUGUUUUUAAAUAACAGUUAAAUUAUAUAUAUAUAUAUGUAUAUAUAUAUGCAUAUAUCAUGCUGCAUCCUUACUUAUCACAAGCUGUUGAUUGUAAAACUGUGUCCCUUUUUUAAGGUCUUGUCUACAUUAAAAUACUCUCAGUAUUGUUUAAAUUACUUCAGUGGGGCUAUACAAUGCUGUUUGUUAACUCAGGCUAAAAGAUUACCUUACAUUAAAAAUUUGCAAAUCCUCCAACAACCUUCCCAUCAUUUUUCCAGAUGGACAAAAAAGAUCUCAUAUUGCUGACUUAACUUGCCAGUUAAGGUAAGUGAGCACAACUGUGCAAAAGACCGUGGGAUGCCCCCAUAGGACAGAAAUACUGAAGCUACAAUUAUUUGUGCAAGACCUUAAAGCAGGAAAUCUGUUAACAGACUAGGCAUAUCCCAGGACUCAGGUGAAGGCAUGCUCUGCAGUGCUGACAGAAUCAUUAUUCAAAUCAGGGUAAUCACAUUGGGCUGAAUUUCCUCAUGGUUGGAGGAGCUUCUUUCAUCUGCUUUUUUAGUGAUCUUGAUAUUGUCUCUCCUGGUGUGCUGUCCUUAAUCCCUUUUUUUUUUUUUUUUUUUUUCCCCCUCCAAUUUCCUUUCUAAUUUUUACUCACAUCUCUUCUCCCUCAAAUCCACCCUGAAACACACUUGUCCGGGGAUCAGUUCUUUUUAGGAGAACUCUUUCCUCCAGCCUUUGACUACUGUAUUUCCUAAGACGGCGUUGUAUCAUUUUAAGAGAACAUGAAGUAAAUAUAUUGUACUACAUACAAUAAAUGAGAAAGAUCAGCUAAUUGGCUGCACUUGUAGGUGAAGUGACACCACAUCAUUGUGCAGCCCUCUUUUCCUCCCCUCUGCCCCCUUUUUUACUUUCAGAAGUAUGUGAUUGUGCCCCACGCAAGCAUAAAUACUAUUCUGUGAUAGGUAUAGCUUGUAAAAGUAG